rnacentral:rRNA from 4 species
GGUUAAGUGAAUAAGGGCGCACGGUGGAUGCCUUGGCACUAGGAGCCGAUGAAGGACGGGACUAACACCGAUAUGCUUUGGGGAGCUGUAAGUAAGCUAUGAUCCAGAGAUUUCCGAAUGGGGGAACCCAAUAUCUUUUAUAGGAUAUUACUUUUCAGUGAAUACAUAGCUGAUUAGAGGUAGACGCAGAGAACUGAAACAUCUUAGUACCUGCAGGAAGAGAAAGAAAAUUCGAUUCCCUGAGUAGCGGCGAGCGAAACGGGAAGAGCCCAAACCAACAAGCUUGCUUGUUGGGGUUGUAGGACUCCAAUAUGGUAGUCUGUUAGUAUAGUUGAAGGAUUUGGAAAAUUCCGCUAAAGAGGGUGAAAGCCCCGUAGACGAAAUGCUGACAACACCUAGGAGGAUCCUGAGUACGGCGGAACACGAGAAAUUCCGUCGGAAUCCGCGGGGACCAUCCCGCAAGGCUAAAUACUCCCUAGUGACCGAUAGUGAACCAGUACCGUGAGGGAAAGGUGAAAAGCACCCCGGAAGGGGAGUGAAAUAGAUCCUGAAACCGUGUGCCUACAACAAGUCAAAGCUCGUUAAUGAGUGAUGGCGUGCCUUUUGUAGAAUGAACCGGCGAGUUACGAUUGCAUGCGAGGUUAAGUCGAAGAGACGGAGCCGCAGCGAAAGCGAGUCUGAAUAGGGCGAAUGAGUAUGUAGUCGUAGACCCGAAACCAUGUGAUCUACCCAUGUCCAGGUUGAAGGUGCGGUAAAACGCACUGGAGGACCGAACCCACGUACGUUGAAAAGUGCGGGGAUGAGGUGUGGGUAGCGGAGAAAUUCCAAACGAACUUGGAGAUAGCUGGUUCUCUCCGAAAUAGCUUUAGGGCUAGCCUCGGAAUUGAGAAUGAUGGAGGUAGAGCACUGUUUGGACUAGGGGCCCAUCUCGGGUUACCGAAUUCAGAUAAACUCCGAAUGCCAUUCAUUUAUAUCCGGGAGUCAGACUGCGAGUGAUAAGAUCCGUAGUCGAAAGGGAAACAGCCCAGACCACCAGCUAAGGUCCCAAAAUAUAUGUUAAGUGGAAAAGGAUGUGGGGUUGCACAGACAACUAGG